UAUAGGCUAAUUAAGAGCGUAAGGGGGAUACCUUGGCUCUCAGAGGCGAAGAAGGACGUGAUAAGCUGCGAAAAGUUACGGGGAGUGGCACAUACAUAUUGAUCCGUAAAUAUCCGAAUGGGGAAACCCGAUUAUUUGAAGAAUAAUCAUCCAUAUUUAUAUGGAAGCUAACCCGGAGAACUGAAACAUCUAAGUACCCGGAGGAAUAGAAAACAAAAGUGAUUCCGCUAGUAGCGGCGAGCGAACGCGGAUCAGCCCAAACCUAAAUUGUUUCGGCAAUUUAGGGGUUGUAGGACCACAAUAUUUAUUGCUUAAUGAAUUAGAAUCCGUUGGAAAUCGGAACCAUAGAGGGUGAUAGUCCCGUACAAGUAAAGAGAGUUAAUAAUAGUGGUAUCCUGAGUAAUGCGGGGCACGGGAAA
rnacentral:rRNA from 1 species